rnacentral:rRNA from 1 species
UACGAAGGGGGCUAGCGUUGCUCGGAAUCACUGGGCGUAAAGCGCACGUAGGCGGCUUUCUAAGUCAGGGGUGAAAUCCUGGAGCUCAACUCCAGAACUGCCUUUGAUACUGGAGAGCUUGAGUCCGGGAGAGGUGAGUGGAACUCCGAGUGUAGAGGUGAAAUUCGUAGAUAUUCGGAAGAACACCAGUGGCGAAGGCGGCUCACUGGCCCGGUACUGACGCUGAUGUGCGAAAGCGUGGGGAGCAAACAGGGAUUAAGAAAC